UUGGCAAUUAAGCGGAACGGCCAAAAAUUCAACAAUUGAAUGCAAUUUUUAUUAUUUCAUCUUUCCCUCCCUUUUUUUUUCACAAUAAUCACCCAUUCCCUCCAAAUAGUUUCCAUGUAAAUUAAAUAGAUUCAAUUAAAGAAGAAAAUAAGAAAUAGGGCUUUAUCUCUCUCGACCGCGCCGCUGCCAAUCACAUCUUUCUCAGAUCAUCACCGACUGCCAUCCCAUGGUAACCCAACUCGUCUCUCUCACUCUCUCAGUCGCACUUACACAUGCUCUCUCUCUCUCUCUCUCUCUCUCUCUCUCUCUCUCUCUCUCUCUCUCUCUCUCUCUCUCUCUCUCUCUCUCUUGAUCUAUUGCUUUUAUAUUAUGGGUUUGAUUAGAUAAGAUUUGAUGAGAAUGUAAAGAAACUUGGAGAAGAAAAUUGGAAUGCAAUUUAUUGAUGAGAUGUAGAAAAGAGUAUUUGCAAUGUGCUAAUGUGAUAUUUUAUUUUUCUAGAAAAUUUAGUUUUUGAAAUGUCUAAUUGUUGAGGCUUGAUGGGUCCCAAAAUGUAGAGAAUGGAGAUGAAUUUGGAGUUAUGAAGGGUGUUUCAAAUGAUUUUUUCGGUUAAUUAGAAAGAAGAAAUCAAACUAAAAAGGUUAUUCAGAGAUGGAACUUUUGAAACAAUGGUUUCGUGAAAUGUAAGGUUAUAUCGUAAGUUAAGUUGUCUAAUUUUGAUUUGCAAGGCAACCUGAUUAUAGAUUUACUAAACAACAGAGAUUUGAGCAUUAGUCACAAGGUCUAGUUAUGAACACAUAUUAGUUUACUGAAAUCAGGAAAUUGAAAAUUUUGUUCAUAUGUUAAAGUUUUUUCAUGACUUUGCUCAGCAGAGCCUGGUGGAUAUUUCAUUCCACUUGUUUCAAAUUAGAACAUCUUUACUAAUUCUCUUGGAACAUCCCUAGUCACUAUGACCUGAUAAAUAACUUGAAUACUAUAUCACCCAAAAGCAUGUAGUGAUGUCAGAAUCUCUAAUAGAAUUGAAAUUCACAAUGCAGGUUUAUUUUUGCAGCUACAGUACCUUCUUUUAUAACAACAGUUUGCGAUUACAAUAUAUUUAAUCACUUAAUGCUAUUUUGUUGUAGCUUUCUCAUCUUAGAAAACUUUUGACUUCCAUUUUACAUAGUAAUAAGCAAUUUUGUGGCUCAUUGUUUUCCACAACAAUGAACUCUUCUCGCUCUUUCUCAAUGAGACAACAACAUAUUCAUGUGAGCAAUUCGAAAGGUAAGUGCUCAAACUUCUACUAUCUGUUCCUUGGAUUUUUUAUCAUAUGAGAAUUAUAUUUUUUUUUCCUUAAUCCCUUUGUUACGGUGGUCUAUUUUUCUUUUAUAAUAUUUCUUAAGUCAAGAGGAAGACUUGAAAGUUGCACAGCUAAGAAAGAUUCUUUUUUAUUGAAAAGGUAAGUCGUCAACAAAGUACACAUUUUAGAGACAAGAUGUGGUUGAAAGAGUUUGGUUGUUGAAGUUGUCAAGCGAAUAUGAUUGAAAUAUACUCUACCACCCUUGUGUUAGAUGUUUAGACAUCAUAGACUUUUAAUUUCCGCCUAAGAGAGCAACCACCCUUAGGAAAUUAAAUUCUUUUCUUCCUUGUUUGUUCUUAAAAAUGGUACCUUUUUUCAAAUUCUUUAACGAAUGUUUGAUUAAUUUUUUUGCCCUUAAAGAUAGUGCAGAUCAUAUAGGAAACCAAGUUGUUACAAUGAAUCGUAAAAGCCAAAGCUGCUCAAAUUCAGUACUAAUUCAUAGAUGCUUCCUAUCUAUGUAGGAACUUUAUAUCUGAGAUUGACUAUCUAUUUGACUCAAGUAUUUAUCUUGUGUUAUAGCUUUACCUCUAUGGAAAAGGCUGAAAUACAUUUUGUUUAUGUAUUAUGUGAUCAAGAGAUGUUCUGUGUCUUGCCAUAUUCUUCCAAGUAAAUACCCUUAUUUAUCUUUAUUGAGUAUUCUUAAAAUAAAUUUCUACAAGAAUAGAUAGAUGAUGCUACACAACACACUUGACAAUAAACAUUCGGUUAUGAUUUCUAAGUUUACUAAUCAGAAUAUUGUCCAUGUAGGUAAAGGUUUUGCUACAGGAAAAAUAUGCCUAGAAAAAGUUGAAGUUAUUCAGCUCACCAAGUUUAAGGAAUAGUAGUUACCAUUGUCAUGCUCAACAUAAUAAUAUCUGGGAAAUUACAACUCUUCCUCUAUUCUAGGUCAUACAUCAAUGAUGUCCAAACUUUUAGCAUUUGGAAGAAUUCAAUAUAAUGAAGAGUUGCGAAUAUUUAUUGUGGACUUACGUAUCUAUUAUUUUGUUAUUGUAGGCAUUCAAUAUGAUUAGUUGUAAUGAUAUUAGUUAUUUAAUUCAAAUAAUGUAAUUUUAUCUUUUAUGUCAUUGAUGCAUUAAUAAUAUAGAUUAGCACUUUUUUGUCUA